AUCACAGGAUGCAAGGAUUUCAGACAGGUAUCUGGAGCUGCAGGUAAAAGUUAGUUCCUAGUUUCUCUCUCUCUAAAUUUCUCUCUUGAGUCAAAGUCUGCUUCCAUUGCUGGAUCAGUGACCAAGAUUGGACAGGCUUCAAUGAAUCAAAACUUAAUGGUGGUUGCCACCAAGUUCUGUUCACUUCUUUUUGACCUAUAUCCAAGAGUUCUUUGCGAAAGCGAGCCUUGAAGAUUGCCGCCUCCAAGGCAUGUUUCGAACUCUUUUAUUUGAGUCUUUAUGAAUCAAGCCUUAAUGGUUUUAGCCACCAAGUCCUGUUCAGACUCAUCCUAAUUAAACAAUAGAUCUUAUUUAUUUUAUUAUUAUUAUUAUUGUUUUUUUUGUUUUUUUUUAUUACUCACUAACUAAUCUAGGGUCGAAAUUUAGAGAGAGAAAAUGUGAUAAAUAAUCUAAACCAGGCGUCACCUUCCAGACCUGUCUGAAGAAUCCGAUCCCAUGUAUACCAAGCCCCAAGACAAGCGGUUAUGUCAGGUUUAGUGUUGGAAAUCAGCUUUGGUUACUUCAUAUGGUUCAAGGCAAGUGUGUAGUUGAUAGGUUGAUCCCCUUUAGCAUCUUUAAUGCUGUCUGCAAUCAGUAAAUCUAAAAUGGUGCUAAAGAUUGGUUAGAUAUUCAUGUUUAAAUCAAUAUAAGAUUAUAGUCCCUAUUUUCAAUAGCUAAGCAUAAUUUAUUUGAAAUUCCUUUUUACAUAAGAAUAAAAUAAAUUAUAUCAGUAAUUCUCCCCCCAGACUUAAAUUACACUGUCCCAG
rnacentral:lncRNA from 1 species